UAGAAGAAUUUGUGAAAUGGUGAAAUUAGUGAAUUAAAAGAAUUUAUUAGGUCAAACGGGUCAAAAAUGAGGUAUCGAGACCUCAAAGUUGAAAAUCGAGCUAUAAAUAUUUUUAUAAAUAUUUAUGGAGUGUCAUUGAGUUAGUAUUAAAGUUUCGUUAGAAAAUUUUAACGUUUGGAUGACUAAUUAAUUAAAAAGGACUAAAUUAAAAAUAGCGCAAAAUUUGUUAAAUUGUGAGUAAAUAGCUUAAGUAUUUAAAAAGAUGGAUUUAAAGAGCAAUUAGACCCAAAGGUUAAUGGCUGGACGGUUUGGGUAUGAAAUAAGCAAGAAAACAAUGUGAACAAGGGGCAAAAUUGGAAAUAACAUAAAAGUUAAUAGUUAAAUAAUGAUGUAAUUGAAAAAUCUAGACAUUUCUUCAUAUUUUCUCAGCCAAAACGCCAUAGAAGGUCUGGAGAAAGCUGGUUUUUCAUAUUUUUACAUCAUGUGAGUUUAAUUCUUACUUUUCUUGAUAAUUUUUAUAUUUUUAUUACUUUUACAAUUAGGUCCACUUGUAGAAUUCAUUAGUUUUUGAUUUUAUGGGUGAAAUUGGAAGUUACCCUGGAUGGAUAAGGGAAUUUUAUAAUGAAUUAUUAUGAAAUUUAAGUUCUAAUUUCAUAUUAAGGUGGUUUUAUUAAGUUAUUUUGAUAGGAAAUGAUAUUUAGGACCUAAUUGUGAAAAAGUUGUGAAUUGAAGGUUUCUGUUGAAAUUAAGAAUAUAAAAGGUUUUGAAAUAGUUUAUAAUGAUAAAAUAAAGUGUUAAUUGAGAAAAAUUAGUUCAAUUGAUGGGUGAAUUGAGCAGGGACUAAAUUGUGAAAACUGUAAAUUUUGGGGUAAAAGUGAAAUUUCAAAAUUUGAACAGCAUAAAUUGUGAAGUGAAAUAGAAUUGAAAUGGAUGCUAAUGAAGGAAUGAUUUUAUAAUUAUAGAUCAAGAAAACGAACUGAAUCGUGGAAAGGAGAAAAUUCAAGAAUAGUCCCUGAAUUUCUACGACUUUUGCAAAUUAGUCCAGGUAAGUUCAUAUGGCAAAGUUCAAUGUUUUGAUAUGAAAAUCUUAUGAUUGUUAAAGUAUUUCAUUGUUGAUGAAUACUAUCAAUUUGCAUUAAUUAAUAAAUAAUGUGUAACUAAAAGUACAAAUUAGUAGGAACAAUGGAUUUGAGUGCUUCUAUUCUGUGACCCUGAUGAAUUGAUGAAAAAUAUGUGAUAAGUGCGCCCGUUUAAGACCAUAGCUGGGCUAUGGCAUCUAUGCAAUGUGAUAAUGUGACUCCGUAUAAGACCAUAGCUGGGCUAUGGCAUCGGUAUAAUGUGAUAAUGUGAUUCCGUAUAAGACCAUGUCUGGGAUAUGGCUUCAGUAUGAUAUGUGAACCGUGUAAGACCAUGGCAAGGCUAUGGCUUCGGUGUGUGAUGCGUAACAAUGUGAAAGUCCAUAGUUUACUAUGGCAAUGUGAUAAUGAAGCACUCAAUUCCCUUAUUGUUCCUUAAUUUGACAAUGAAGUAAAUGAGAAAUGGGCCUAAGGGAGUUAAAUUGUGAGUAGCCAUAUGGAAAUUAUUCCAAUGAGUUAUUAAUGAAAUUGUGAUUUGGAGGAUGAAAUAGUUAAACUAAUAGAUAUAUGAUUGUGUACGAUAUUUGAUAUGAUUUGUGUUUAUAUGCCUAUGAGCUUACUAAGCUCCAAUAAGCUUACUAAGCUUCAAUAAGCUUACUUGUGCGUGUUUAAUAUUUUUAUGUAGAUUGACUUGAAGGGAAGUGGGUAGAUCGGAUCAACACAACAGGGCACACUAUUCAGAUCAAUUCUGGUAGUUUUUGUUUUAUGUUUAAAGAUUUAUAUGUCAUGUAUAGAGUUUGAAUGAAUUGAAGUAAAGAUGUUAUGAACUAGUUAACAAUAUUUGUACUAAAACAGUUUUUGGUAAGUAGCAGUAGUUUGACUUUGAAAAUUCACCAUAAAUUGUGGAAAUUGAGUUAAGGGCUGGGAAAAAAUGAGAUUAAAGCCUAAUGAGUCUAGUUUCAUAUAGAGGAAACGGCGCAUGUAAUUGGAUUUUAUGUUAUGAGAUAUUUAAAUUGUGGUGAGACAGAGUCUGAAUGACUUCGAGUUCCCCUGUUCUUAUUUUAGAAAAUCAUUAAAAUUUUCAAAAAAAUAAUUAUGAGUCAUACUGUAUAUGUAUGGAUUCCUCAUUGGGUCUAUUUUUAAGAGAAACAAACGGCAUGGUUAUUUGAAUUUUUUACAGAGAGAAAUUUGGUUCGUAGUGCACAGGGGUCAAAGUAGCCAAACCCUGAAACAGGGGAGGAUUUAACUAAUAAACUGUACUAAUUGGACCAACCAAAAAUUAUAUAAAAAAAUUGGUAAGUAGAUAUAUGAGUAUAAAUUCGGGGAAAAUUUACGGAUUUAGGUUUCGAGUUUUAUAACUCGAGAUAUGAAUUAUUUAGCAACUAUGACGCAGUUGGACAGCUUGUCUGAAAAGUAUAAUAUAAAUUAUCUAAAUUUGGUUAAGUGCUCAAAUAAGUUUAGUAGUGCCUUGUGCUCGACUCCGACAACGGUCUCGGGUAAGGGGCGUUACAUUUAUUGGUAUCAGAGCUUCGGUUUAGCCGAUUCUUGAAAUAUGUAUGAUGUGAAAAGUGUCUAGAAUUACAUGCCAUAUAAAUCUGUGAUAGUGUGCUGUGUAUGAUCCGAUCUAAUCAUUGUUUUUUAUUAUAGAUUAUCUUCGAUUUGAAAAGAUUUCAGAUAGACCAGAACAAACUGAGCAAGAAGAAGUUAAUAGCAGAGUACAAACCUCUGAACAAGGAACAAGUAGUGAAGCUCCGAUUUCAUUGAUGCGAGAACAAGAACUCAAAAAUAUGAUUUAUGGAUUCAUGAAUCAGUGGUAUAAUGAGAAUGUGCGAGAAAGAAAUCAGACUACACAACCUCCUCCCCCUAUCUCAACAUCUGUAGUACCCCCGGUUGCUCCUCCACCUCCUCCGACAACUGAAUCUGGCAAACGUUCUCCAUUUGAAAAGCUCAGAAAACAUGGGGCUGAAGAAUUUCGGGGAAGAACAGAUGAUGACCCCGUUAAAGCUAAAUAUUGGUUACAAAGUAUAAUGAGGGUUUUUAAGAAAAUGGCGUGCUCACCAGAUGAUUACUUAAUAUGUGCCGUGUCAUUAUUGAAAGAAGAAGCUUAUAACUGGUGGGAAACAAUAGAAGCUGUUGUACCGGCUGAGAAGAUCACUUGGGAAUUUUUUCAAAAUGAAUUUAAGAAGAAAUAUGUCGGUAGAAGAUAUCUGGAUAAGAAGAAAAGAGAAUUUCUCGACUUGCGACAGGGAAACAAGUCAGUGGCUGAAUAUGAAAGAGAAUUUGUUUAUCUGAGCAAAUAUGCUCGAGAUAUAGUACCCAUAGAAGAAGAAAUGUGUAUCAGAUUCGAAGAAGGGCUUAAUGAUGAGAUUAAAAUGAUGAUAGGGGGCAUUGAGAUACGAGAAUUUGUUGUUCUAUCAGAUCGUGCUCAGAAGCUUGAAGAAGUAUAUAAUAAAAAGAUGCAACGAGAUAGAAGAAGUAAAGAAUCUUUCAAAAGAAGUGCAUCUAAGUCAUUUUCGGCUUUACCAGUGAAGAAAUCUAAAGAGGAAUUCAGUCGAGCCACUUCAGUACCGGAAAGAUCAGGAAAAAGUAGGCCAAGACAAUCUGAUUACAAAGUAUCUGACAGACCUGCUGUUAGUGUGGGUAGUGUACAAAAUACCCAAAGGCCUAAGUGUCAACAUUGUGGAAGAAGUCACCCCGGUGAAUGUAGAAGUAAGUUAGGGACUUGUUAUAAAUGUGGGGCCACUGAUCACUUUAUUCGUGAUUGUCCCCAAUUACAAGUAGAAGAAGUGGAACAGAGGGAGAAACAGAAAAUUCUUCCUCAAAAAGGAAGACGCUCUGGUCAGAGCAGUGCUACAGGGGCUACUCGUUCGGGUAUGAAAGAUACUGCUAGCCGAUCAGAAGUUAGGGCUCCUGCUCGUACUUAUGCCAUUCGAGCGAGAGAAGAAGCAACAGCUCCAGUUGUAAUUGCUGGUACUUUCUAUCUUUAUGAUGUUCCUGUGUAUGCUUUAAUAGACCCUGGGUCUACUCAUUCAUAUAUUUGCACUAUGUUAGCAUCUGAAAAGAACUUAUUUGUUGAGCCUACUGAUUAUGAUGUACAAGUUACAAAUCCGUUAGGUCAAAGUGUGGUAGUUAAUUUAAUAUUUCAUAACUGUCCACUGAAAGUUAAGGGCUGUGAUUUCCCCGCUGAUUUGAUGCUGCUACCCUUUCGUGAAUUUGAUAUUAUCUUGGGCAUGGACUGGUUAAUGAAACAUGACGCGGUAGUGAAUUGUCGAGAAAAACGAAUUAGCUUGAAAUGUUAAACAGGAGAUAUUGUUUUGGUUGAGUCUGGGAAUUUGGAUGACAUGGUUAGAAUGAUUUCCUUUAUGUCUGCUCAGAAAUUGUUGCGUAAAGGAAAUGAGGCUUAUUUAGCCUAUAUUCUUGAUACUCGAAGUUCUAAAUCAAAGUUAAAGCAACUAUCUGUUGUAAAUGAAUUCAUGGAUGUAUUUCCUGAAGAAUUACCAGGUUUACCACCCGAUAGAGAAGUUGAGUUCGUGAUAGAUGUGGUUCCAGGAACAGCUCCCAUAUCAGUGACACCGUAUAGAAUUGCUCCAGCAGAAUUAAGAGAGUUAAAAGCGCAGUUGCAAGAACUGUUAGACAAAGGGUUUAUCAGACAGAGUAUGUCACCAUGAGGUGCACCUGUCUUAUUUGUGAAAAAGAAGGAUGUUUCAUUGAGGCUAUGCAUAGAUUACAGGCAGCUGAAUAAGGUAACAAUUAAAAAUAAAUAUCCUUUGCCUCGUAUUGAUGAUUUAUUCGAUCAGCUUAAGGAUGCUACAGUGUUUUCAAAAAUAGAUCUCAGAUCUGGGUAUUACCAGUUAAAGGUAAAGGAAUGUGAUGUACCGAAAACAGCUUUUAGAACUCGGUAUGGUCAUUAUGAGUUCUUAGUUAUGCCAUUCGGUUUGACAAAUGCUCCUGCUGCUUUUAUGGAUUUAAUGAAUCGAAUUUUCCAGUCUUACCUGGAUAGAUUUGUGGUUGUGUUUAUUGACGAUAUACUGAUCUAUUCAAAGACAGAAUCCGAGCAUGCUCAGCACUUGAAAAAUUGUACUACAGAUAUUAAGGGAAAAAUAGUUAUAUGCAAAAUUUAGUAAAUGUGAAUUUUGGCUUCAUGAAGUGGGAUUCUUGGGUCACAUUGUGUCAAUUGAUGGUAUACGGGUAGAUCCGAGUAAGGUGUCAGCGGUGAUUAAUUGGAAAACUCCAAAGAAUGUUACGGAAGUGCGAAGUUUCCUUGGAUUAGCUGGUUACUAUCGUCGAUUUGUGAAAGAUUUUUCACUGAUUGCUUCACCGAUAACUAAAUUAUUACAGAAGAAUGUUGAGUUUGUAUGGUCUGAUGAGUGCCAACAAAGUUUUGAUCAAUUAAAGAAAAUGUUGACAGAGGUUCCGGUGUUAACUCAGCCUGAAUCAGGUGUGCCAUAUGUAGUAUAUAGUGAUGCGUCUCUGAAUGGUUUAGGUUGUGUAUUGAUGCAGUCAGGAAAAGUUGUAGCAUAUGCUUCUCGACAGUUGAAACCACAUGAGAGGAACUACCCUACACAUGAUCUUGAAUUAACUGCCAUAGUAUUUGCUUUAAAAAUUUGGAGACACUACCUAUAUGGAGAGAAAUGUUAUGUGUAUAUAGACCAUAAAAGUUUGAAAUAUUUAAUGUCGCAGAAAGAGCUGAAUUUGAGACAGAGGCGAUGGUUAGAGCUGUUGAAAGAUUACGAUCUUAUCAUUGAUUAUCAUCCGGGUAAGGCAAAUGUAGUGGCAGAUGCACUUAGUCGGAGAUCAUCAUUAUUUGCUCUUCGGGCGUUAAAUGCUCAUUUGUCUGUUAAUGAAAAUGGUUCUAUAUUAGCUGAAUUAAAGACAAAACCAGUAUUCUUUCAACGAAUUCGGGAAUCGCAAGAUGAAGAUCCGAAGUUGGUGUUGAAACGACAAAUGGUUCGGGAUAAUUUGAACUUAGAUUACUCUAUUGAUAAUAGUGGUAUGUUAUACCAUCGUAAUAGAAUUUGUGUCCCGAAUAAUCUAGAAUUGAAUAAGGAUAUCUUAUCAGAGGCUCAUAGUAGUAUGUACUCGAUUCAUCCGGGUAGUACGAAGAUGUAUUGUGAUUUGAAAAAAAAUGUAUUGGUGGCCUGGUAUGAAACGGGAAAUUUGUGAAUUUGUGGCAAAAUGUUUAAUCUGUCAACAGGUAAAAGCUGAACAUCAAGUGCCUACAGGUUUGUUACAACCCGUAAUGAUUCCAGAAUGGAAGUGGGAACAUGUGACGAUGGAUUUUGUAUCUGGAUUGCCAGUGACUCCGAAGAAAAAAGAUUCAAUUUAGGUGAUAGUAGACAGAUUCACUAAAUCAGCGCAUUUUAUUCCGGUCAGAACAGAUUUUUCACUUGAUAAGUUAGUGGAAUUAUAUGUGUCAGAAAUUGUGAGAUUACAUGGGGUGCCGACAUCAAUUAUUUCUGAUCGAGAUCCGAGGUUUACUUCGAGAUUUUGGAAUAAACUACAGGAAGCUUUAGGUACUAAGUUAAAAUUUAGUACAGCUUUUCACCCUCAGACAGAUGGACAAUCAGAGCGAGUGAUUCAGAUUUUGGAAGAUAUGUUAAGGUGUUGUAUACUCGAGUUCAGUGGCAGCCGGGAAAGGUACUUACCUUUAGCUGAAUUUGCUUAUAAUAACAGUUAUCAAGCUAGUAUCAAAAUGGCACCGUUUGAAGCUCUGUAUGGAAGGAAGUGCAGAACCCCGUUGUAUUGGUCAGAAUUAAGUGAAUCGAAAUUAGUCGGAGUGGAUUUAAUUCGGGAAACUGAAGAGAAUGUUCAGAUUAUUCGGGAAAGUUUGAAAGCUGCUUCCGAUCGUCAAAAGUCGUAUGCAGAUUUGAAAAGAAGAGAUAUAGAGUUCAAUGUGGGUGAUCGUGUGUUCUUGAAAGUUUCUCCGUGGAAGAAAGUUUUACGGUUUGGUAGAAAAGGAAAGCUUAGUCCACGAUUUAUCGGACCAUACGAAAUCAUUGAGAGGAUCGGUCCGGUAGCUUAUAGAUUGGCCUUGCCUCCAGAACUUGAGAAGAUCCAUAAUGUAUUUCAUGUAUCUAUGUUGAGACGAUAUAGAUCAGACCCUUCAAAUGUGAUUCCUCAUACUGAGAUAGAGCUACAAUCAGAUAUGACUUAUUCGGAGGAACCAGUGAAAAUAUUAGCUCGGGAAGUUAAAGAACUACGGAAUAAACGAGUACCAUUAGUAAAAGUGUUAUGGCAUCGACAUGGAUUGGAGGAGGCAACCUGGGAAAUAGAGGAGUCAAUGAGAUCACAGUAUCCAAAUCUGUUUUCAGGUAACAAAUUUCGAGGACGGAAUUUUUAAAGGGGGGAGAGUUGUAACGGCCUAAUUUUCAGUGGUGUCGGAAAUGGUGAUUUGAGAUCACUAAAUUCGACAAAUAAGAUUGAACAAGAUAGUAAUUUAAUAUUUAUGAGUCAAGUAAGAAUUUAGAAGAAUUUGUAAAAUGGUGAAAUUAGUGAAUUAAAAGAAUUUAUUAGGUCAAACGGGUCAAAAAUGAGGUAUCGAGACCUCAAAGUUGAAAAUCGAGCUAUAAAUAUUUUUAUAAAUAUUUAUGGAGUGUCAUUGAGUUAGUAUUAAAGUUUCGUUAGAAAAUUUUAACGUUUGGAUGGCUAAUUAAUUAAAAAGGACUAAAUUGAAAAUAGCGCAAAAUUUGUUAAAUUGUGAGUAAAUAGCUUAAGUAUUUAAAAAGAUGGAUUUAAAGAGCAAUUAGACCCAAAGGUUAAUGGCUGGACGGUUUGGGUAUGAAAUAAGCAAGAAAAUAAUGUGAACAAGGGGCAAAAUUGGAAAUAGCAUAAAAGUUAAUAGUUAAAUAAUGAUGUAAUUGAAAAAUCUAGACAUUUCUUCAUAUUUUCUCAGCCAAA
rnacentral:lncRNA from 1 species